rnacentral:rRNA from 1 species
AGCGAACGCUGGCGGCAGGCUUAACACAUGCAAGUCGAACGGGCACUUCGGUGCUAGUGGCAGACGGGUGAGUAACGCGUGGGAACGUACCUUUCGGUUCGGAAUAAUUCAGGGAAACUUGGACUAAUACCGGAUACGCCCUUCGGGGGAAAGAUUUAUCGCCGAUAGAUCGGCCCGCGUCUGAUUAGCUAGUUGGUGAGGUAAUGGCUCACCAAGGCGACGAUCAGUAGCUGGUCUGAGAGGAUGAUCAGCCACAUUGGGACUGAGACACGGCCCAAACUCCUACGGGAGGCAGCAGUGGGGAAUAUUGGACAAUGGGCGCAAGCCUGAUCCAGCCAUGCCGCGUGAGUGAUGAAGGCCUUAGGGUUGUAAAGCUCUUUUGUCCGGGAAGAUAAUGACUGUACCGGAAGAAUAAGCCCCGGCUAACUUCGUGCCAGCCGCCGCGGUAAAAC